AUGCGGCACCGGAGGUGGAGCCACGUCGCACAGCUCCUGGUCCACGCCGCACCGGAGGUGGAGCCAUGCCACGCAGCUCCUGGCCCACGCCACCCAGCUCCUGGUCCACGCCACGCCGGAUGUGGAGACAGGCCAAUUCCGACGCGCAGCUCAGCAAGGGCCUCGCCGUUCUGCUCGUGCUCCGACUCUCUAGGCGCGCUCGCGAGGGACGUUUGCCACGGUGUCGUUGGAUUUCAUCUAGAUGCAGAGCACUCGGGGGCCGGCGACGAGCUCCGUCCAUCCAGAGCACCCAUGGUGACGUCUACGGCUAGCAGACGAGGGAUGGGGCCGCGGGAGGCACACCGUUGCUCGCUGGUCGCCGCUCUUCGGGCGCCCAGAAGGUGCUCGACGAAAUGCCCCACAGAAAUAGUGAUAUGA
rnacentral:rRNA from 1 species